rnacentral:misc_RNA from 1 species
AAUUCACUCCCCUCGCAAACAUCUAAUUAAACAACCAUUAAUCACACCAACAAUAACAACAUAAAAUCUAGAUCUGAGUGAUCAGAUAUCUCAAUCACUUGGUGAUAACAUACACAGCAUAGAUGAUUCCCGGCAGCCACCCGAACAACGUCAGCAACAGACAGAUCCAGAACUCGAUCCCGCAGGCGAACUUGAGGAAGACCCCGA